rnacentral:lncRNA from 1 species
AAUGGCAGGAGACACCAUGAGAUGUUUUCUACUGUAGAAACUUUCUCAUUAGAAAUAGCCCAUUUAUACAGGGGACUGGCUAAUGUUUUUCUAUGAGUAUCAUUAGCCAGUGUCUCAAAGUGGUGAAGAGACUGCAACCUGGAACAAGGAGAGACAAAGGGAAGGAGGAGUCUGGAGCCAUAUUGAAGAUGAAAUUGAGAUAUGGACUAGGUGGUGGAUCGUUUUUAUAAGAGGACAUAAAAGAGGAUGCUAAAGCUAAUUGCCACAAUCAGAACUCAAAGACCUAGCAAAUGCAAGCCUUAUGCAAAUCCUGGAAGAUAUCAAUUCUGAGGGCUGGGGUGUAUCUUGAUCACCUUUGGAAUCUACCACUGCAUGGAGCACAGCACUUACCACCUAGUAGUUCUGUUUGUUUCCAAGUUUGGAAGAAACAUAAUUGAAUCAUUUUGAGGAAUUCCAAUCCCUGACAAGAUGCCAGUGCUAUUUUACAGCAAGAGUAGACGAGGAAGGCUAUACUACGUGGUCCUGGGCAAGUUAUUUAAAUUCUCUGUGCCUCAGUUUUCUGAACCGUAAGAUGGGAAGAAUAAUAGUAACUACCUCUGGAGGCUGUUGUAAAAGUUAAAUGAUCUGAUCUAUGUAAAGCACUUAGAACAGUACCUGGUAUAUAAGUGUGUGAUAAAUAAAAUCCAAUAUGAAGAAGA